rnacentral:rRNA from 1 species
AUGUCUACGCCCGACGGCCGUAACAGGAGGUCCGUCACGCCACCUUCUGCUGAUGAAGAGCUGGGUGUUGAGUUUAAGGAUGAGGAAUUUCCGACUCUGCAAAAGAGUCUGGGGAAAGUACGUUCCCCGGGAAGUAACAGGCCUUCUCCUCAGCGAGGUGUCCGUAUCAGCCCUCCCCAACAAGUUCCUGCUCAGCCCCUCACGCCCGAUGAAAGAAGGCAGCGCCAGUUCAUGGAUGUACUUUUGAACUGCAAUAAGAAGGGAAACAAAAGCUUGUAUCAGAUCAAGGCUCUUGCUAUAGUUCCUUCCAAAGAUUACACUUUCCACGUCCAAUUUGAGCAUGUUCUUGAGAGGGGUUAUUUCGACUUGGCAAUUUGGAUCGUGGAAAGUCUCUCAUCUCGCCUAGGUGUGAAUUUGCUGAGGCUGACGCUAGCAGAUUUCUUGGAGGCGGAACUUCCGGGUCAGAUUCCCCGACUUGUGAAAGUUGUGUACUUGGGUCGCCUGGUAUACUUUGCUGGCACUGAUUAUCUCUAUGAGGAGUGGAAUGCUGGAAAAAGCUGGGGCGGGAAGUUUGAAGCCAAGCAUAUUCACUUUCUGGAGUACAGAGAUGGUAGGGUAGUAUGCAGAAUCAGUGCUACUCCUACUGCCACAGGAAAGGGUUGUACCUCAACAAACAAGGCACUUGAUCUUCAGAAGCUGGUGGCAGAGCUUAUCGCGAAGUACAAAAUCGGUGAUCAGUUGCCUGCAAAUUUUGAAGCGCUGAAGCGUGACUUUGAGGCUUUAAAUGGUACCUCCAUCUCGACAACACCCGUUUUACAGUAUCUGCCAUAUCACGUGGCUAUGAUGCCGCUUGCUGCAACUGAGUUUCUGACCACAAAGCUUCAUACUGUUCUUCAAAGUGUCCGGAUGUCUGCGGCAGAGUUCACCGUGUACAGGAUUGUGUUUCUUGCACAACCAAAUGGUGAACUUGAUUGGAGGAUUGAGUAUUUCGACUCGCCUGACCAAGUUCUUCGGGGGGUGUAUCGACAUGAUAGGAGGGGUACGAAUGAUAUCCUUGCUGAGAUUUCAAGUGAGCUCUUCCGUGGUGAGGACGAACAGAUGAGGCUGGCCUCCAAGCUUGGCAUCAUCUAUGAGUCGUACCGGGCGAUGAGGUACAUUGAGGACAAUGUUGCUGCUGCUGGUGCUGAUGCUGGAACAAGCUUUGAAUGUAAUCAACUAUCCGGUUCCCUACCAGAUGAGAUUGGCUAUCUCAAGAACUUAAACAGAUCACAAAUCGACCAAAAUCAAUUAUCUGGACCCAUACCUAUGUCGUUUGCUAAUUUAAAAAGCAUGGAGCAUCUAUUUUUAAAUCUUGGGCAUGGUAGACCGGAUCCAAACAAAUGCAGACCGGAUUCAAACAAAUCAUUCAGAGUUCAAAGCCGAUCGGACCCAAAAAAGAAUCCACAGGGGAGACAUCUCCACUCACCAUCCACCGGAGCGGGGAGGACAUUAUGCCGACUCUGGAGUCUUAGGAAUUGCAGUUUGCAAGGAGUUAUUGGCAUACCUGAACUUGGCUAUUUGGAUCUUAGCUGGAACCAACUGACAGGAUCUAUAGCAGCCGAUAGACUCGCUUCAAAUAUCACCACAAUGAACUUUGAAAGCAACUUCCUUGACACAAUUCCAGCUGCAUCUGAGCCUCCAAAAGCUUUGUGCGGCUCAGGAAAUUACUUGCUGGAUGGAAGAUUACUCUGUUAG